rnacentral:lncRNA from 1 species
ACGGAAUCCGAGGAGAUCAAAGAAGACUAGGGCGUGCGAGCAGGGGCCGUCUGGCAAUAAACCGGCCAAUGGGGGACUGCAAAAGCGGCGCCUGGAGCCUAUGGAGACCGUUAGAUUUUCAAACAAGAACUUAUAACCCAGCAAGAAUGGGCCUUUGCCUGGAGAAGAAUCCAGACCAUGGGAUGAAUCCCCAAAUGCUAUUUCCAUCUGUAGAGCCUAGAGCACCCACCCCUACCAAGGAAGUCUUCCCAGAUAAUUUGUGUUUCAUAUGUAAAAGCAAGUUUUUUUUUUCAAAUGCUCAAAACCCAAGCAAGUUAAGCCCUUCCUUCCUUCCUUCCUUCCUUUCUUUUCUCUCUCUCUCUCUUUCUUUCUCUCUCUCUCUCUUUCUUUCUUUUUUUUCUUUUUUAGACAGGGUCUGUGUCCCCUAGGCUGGAGUGCAGUGGUAUGAUCAUGACUCAUUGCAGCCUCAACCUCCCAGGCUCAAGUGAUCCUCCCGCUUCAGCCUCUGGAGUACCUGGGACUACUGGCAUACACCACCACGCCCAUCUAAUUUUUAAAAAAGUUUUUGUAGAGACAGAGUCUCACUAUGUUGCCCAGGCUGGUCUCAAACUCCUAGGCUUAAGUGAUUUGCCCACCUCGGCCUCCCAAAAUGCCGAGAUUAUAGGCAUGAGCCAGCACACCUGGCCAAGUUAAGCUUUUCUUUGCCCUUAGAACGAGAUAAUUGUAAAAUGAAAACAUUGAGAUUAGUUUUUUUGGUCUGUAAAUCUCAUGUUACAUAUAGUUUAAAUUACAUUGAGUGUGAUUGGAAUAGAUACUAGGUAGAAAAAUAUUAUCUAGUUAAUCUAUACCACUUUCCUGUGAAAAGAGAGAAAAGAAGACACAUAUUUAUUUAACAGAGAACACAAUUCUGAUGGGCUGGAGAUGAGUCUGUGUAAGUCUAUUAACUUAUAUUUCACAAAAAAGAAUUUUUUACUUAAAAAUGUAUUUCCAACUUUAUUUUUACAUUUCAAACCUACAGAAAAGUUGACAGUGAACACUCAUAUACCCUGCACUUAAGUUCGCCAGUUGUUUUAUUUUGAAUUUUUAAAAUUUUUUUAGAGGCAGGGUCUUGCUCUCUUGCCUAGGCUAGAAUGCAGUGGUGUGAUCUCGGUUCACUGCAACCUCUGCCACCGGGCUCAAGCAAUCCUCCCGCCUAAGCCUCCUGCAUAGCUGGGACUACAGGCAUGAGCCACCAUGCCCAGCUAAUUUUUUGUAGAAAUGGGGUUUCACCAUGUUGCCCAGGCUGGUCUCGAAUGCCUGAGCUCAAUCAGUUCGCCUAACUCGGCCUCCCAGGGUGCUGGGAUUACAGGCGUGAGCCACCAUGCCCGGCCUGGAUUCACUCGUUGUUAAUAUUUGAUCACAUUUGCUUUCUUUCCAGACCAUAGGAUAAUUGUUGACAUGGCUGCAUAGCAUUCCAUUCUUUGGAUGGCCUCAGAUUUUUGAGCCACUCCUCUGUCACUGGAUAUUUGAAUGUGUUCAGAUAUUUUCGUUGUUAUAACCAGGAUGGGAUAAGUCUUUGCUGUCAAAUUUUUGUGCGGAGCCAUGAUUAUUUCCUUGUGAUAAAUUCCUAGAAGUAGAAUUUAUAGAUUUUUUUUGAGACAGAGUCUCACUUUGUUGCCAAGGCUGGAGUGUAGUGGUGUGAUCUCUGCUCAUGGCAACCUCUGCCUCCUGGUUUCAAGUGAUUCUUCUGCUUCAGCCUCUGGAGUAGCUAGGACUACGGGCACACACUACCAUGCCGCCUAGCUAAUUUUUGUAUUUUUAAUAGACACAGGGUUUCACCAUGUUGGCCAGGCUGGUCUCGAACUUGUGGCCUCAAGUGAUCUGCCCACCUCGGCCUCCCAGGGCGCUGGGAUUACAGGCAUGAGCCACCUCACCCGGCUGAAUUUAUGGAUUUAAAGGAGGUCACUGCAUUGUAAAUCAAGUGUUGAGUGACAGUGGUACGCAUAACAGUGAACCUCCUCAUCUAAGCUCUAUAUCAGGGGUCAGCAAAUUAUGGCCCCUGGUUUGCUGACCCUUUACAGUUUCCUAUAGCCUGCAAACUAGGAAUACUAUUUACAUCUUUAAAGGGCUUUAGAAAAGUAAAACUAAUAUUUUGUGACACAUCAAAAUUAUAUGAAAUUUGCAUUUUAGUGUCCAUUAAUAAAAUUUUCUUGGAACACAAGUCUCACUCAUGCGUUUACAUAUUGUCUGUUACUGCUUUCACGCUAUAAUGGCAGAGUUGAGUAGUUGCCAAAGAGACCACAUGGUAUGGACAUCCUAAAGUAUUUACUAUCUGGCCUUUUACAGAAAAGGUUUGCCAACCCCUGCUCUGUACAAUGCCUGUCACCAAUACAGAGGUUGGGGCUCUAACCAGGUGGGUCUCCCUGGCUUCCACUGGCGACCUCUUAACCUGGCUUAUGGGUGCACAUUUUCAGGCUGGUGCUUCUGGGAGAUAUGAGAGACACAGUCAGCUUGUUUCCAGCUCCAAGAUGUGAGAUGGACUGUGUCUCUUAUGUCUGCAUUUGAAUCUUCUCUCCUUUCCAUCCAACUUCCUGCCCCCAGCUCUGACUCAUAGGUCUCUGUCUUUGCCUUUUCCCAAGAAGAGCAAGAAAUGACUAAGGCCCAGGGGAGGCUGCAUUUCCCUGAUAGCUAAUGAUGUAGAACAUCUUGCCAUGUGCUUAUUUGUCAUCUACAUGUCCUUUAUGGUGAAAUGUCUCUUCACAUUCUUUGCUCAUUUACCAAAUGGAUUGCUUAAAAAAAAAAAAAACUUGAGUUUUGAGAGUUCCUUACAUAUUCUAGGUAUGAGUUCUUUGUCAGAUAUGUGGUUUGCAAAUAUUUCCUCCCAGGCUGUAGUUUGUCUUUUUGUCCUCUUAACAAGGUCUUUGUUAGAGCAAACACAUUUAAUUUUGAAGUCUAGUUUAUUGAUUUAAAAACAUUUUUUGGAUCAUGCUUUUGUUGUUGUGUCUAAGAACUCUUCACAAGCCGUAGCUCCCAAAGACGUUCUCCUGUGUUUUAUUUUUAAAGUUUUUUAAUUUUAUGUUUGACAUUUAAAUCUGUGAUCUGUUUUUAAAAAACAGCUUUAUUGAGAUGUAAUUCACAUACAAUAAAACCCACACAUUUGAAGUUUACAGUUCAGCAGUUUUUAAUAUAUUCACAGAGUUGUACAAACAUCACCACAAUCUAACUUUAUUUUUUUAAUAAUUUUUUUUUUUUUGAGACAGGGUCUCACGCUGUCACCCAGGCUGGAGUGCAGUGGUAGGAUCUUGGCUCACUACAGCCUCAACCUCUCAAACGCAAGCGAUCCUCCCUGCCUCACCCCCUCAAGUAGCUGAGACUAUAGGCAUGUGCCACCACGCCGGCUAAGUUUUGUAUUUUUUGUAGAGAUGGGGUUCCACUGUGUUACCCAGGCAGGUCUUGAACUCCUGAGCUCAUUCGAUCCACCCACCUCGGCCUCCCGAAGUACUGGGAUUACAGGCGUGAGGCACCACGCCCAGCAAUCUAGAGUAUUUUCAUCACCCCAAAUAGAACUCCUGUACCCACUCCUCAGUGUGUUCUCCCCACCCCAGCCCUAAGCAACCACAAAUUUAAUUUCAUCUGUAAAAAUUUUUGUAUUCUGCACAUUUCAAUAAAUAGAAUCAUAUACACUAUGUGGCCUUUUAUGCCUGGCUUCUUUCACUUAGUAUAAUGUUUUUAAGUUUCAUUUGUCCAUGUUAUAAUACUUAUUAGUACUUUAUUCCUUUCUAGGGCUGAAUAAUAGUCCCUUGUGCAUAUAUGCCACAUUUUGUUUAUUUCUCUUACCAAUUUCAGUAAAAUGUAAAGUCCUUACUCCUUUUAAGUCCCUUUUCCUCCCCCU